UGCAGAGGCUGCGGAGCUCCCCACAGCUCACACAUCUCACACCUACAACGGGCCCCGCUGGAGUCACGCAGGAGGCCCGCCGUCCGCCUGUCCGAACCGGUCAAAUAUAGGACGGAGACAUUUGCCCAACACAUGAGGAUUUUUAUUCUGUUUCCGGAUUAUUCAAGCGUGUACACCUGUUCCUCCUGGAUCUAAACUCAAACUUUGUCUAACAAGGAAUACGAUUUUUUGGGGAAGAUUGAGACGUUUUUCUCUCUCUUUAUAUCUUUGGGGUGUUUCGGAGUAAUCAUCGGCUCUAACAGUUCCUCCGAAUGUUCCUGGAAAUGUUACAGAACAAAACGGUGGUGGAUGGCAGCCGCCCUAAAAGGCCCGUUACAAGGGAGGGUGAGGGAUGGUGGUACUACUUCAGAAGUGGCGCUUUGAUGCGCUUUGACGCAGGAGGGAGUGGGGAGAUGCGCAGAGCAGAAGCGCUUUUCCAAAGCCUGCUUUCAACCAAUGAACUGGGUUGGUUUUGUUAGUAACUCCAAACCCACAUCGAUGCUUCUUAUAACAAACAGCUGCCGUCCAGGAGGUCACCUUAAGGAUGGACCAGCGGAACUGGUAGCUCUUCAGCACUGGAUUGUAGGAUGUAGAAGUCUUAAAUACAUGUAUAGGAAGUGAAAACAAAAAACAGGUCCUGUAGAGCUUUAAUUAUAUGUAAACAACUGGAUGUAGCACAUAAAGCAUGCAAAAAAUAUUAUUGCAGCAGCAGUCAGCAAAGGUUGAUCAGGCCUGGGUUAGGUCCAACUUCUUAGAUGGACAGCAUCUGGGAGAGAAGUCUUUACAAGGGAUAGAGUAGCCAAUCAGAAGUGGAAGGUCAGAAAAGCAAUCCUUAUUUUUGCAAAACCAGCCUAAAAUUUACAGAGUGACUACAUUUUGGGUUAAUUUUGGCUAACUCAUAAAAUCUAGCUGGCCGGCUGAAGUGAGUAGUAGAGCAAAAAGUUUUUGUAAGUAAAUGGUCAAAAGUAAGAGGUGUGUUGCUAUGUGGAUAACAUGCCAUUCUGAUGGAAUAGAUUUAAAUAGUUUGCUGCUUUUUUAGUAUCAUUUCAAGCAUUAAUCACAAACCAAUUCUAUUUUUCCCCUAAAUAUGGAAGACAAACCAGAUAAUUUCCUGAAAGAAAAGAUCCAUAAAACUACAUGUGCACUAAUCACUGCAGCUGUGAAAGCAUAUCCGUAUUAAUGAGGUUUAUGUUAAAUUUGACUUGUAAAUUUGAAUGUAUAUUGAGAGAGAAGAUUGUGAAACAAAACAUUUAAAAUGCCAGCUAUCAUUCUGUUGUUUAUGAACUGCUGAUUGUGCAGAUGAUAUGUGCUUCCAUUUGACUGAUAAAAUAUAAAUUGGAAGAAUUUAGCCUGUUAUUUCCAAAGUUAAAGUCAAUGUGAAACAGUUUCAACCUGACUGAUUAAUCUGUGUUGUUAUAUUAAAUAUUUAGAUGAAGGUA